rnacentral:rRNA from 1 species
GACGAACCGUACAAACGUUAUUCGGAAUCAUUGGGCUUAAAGGGUGCGUAGGCGGCGCUGCAAGUUGGGUGUGAAAUCCCUCGGCUCAACCGAGGAAUGGCGCCCAAAACUGCCGUGCUUGAGGGAGACAGAGGUGAGCGGAACUUGCGGUGGAGCGGUGAAAUGCGUUGAUAUCGCAAGGAACACCGGUGGCGAAAGCGGCUCACUGGGUCUUUUCUGACGCUGAGGCACGAAAGCUAGGGUAG